AUGGAAAUAUCAGGACCAAAGCGAAAAGAGGGAGAAGUGAGCAACUUACCUGCCAAAGAAGUUCCGGCGACUCUUCAACGGCGUCAGUGUUGUAAGAAAUUCAGAGGGAUGGAGCAACCAGAGAGAGAAUUAAGAUUCUUUGCAGAGAGAAAAGUGAAGAGUGGAAGUGAAGAAUUGGUGAAAAUGAAUCGUGUUAAUGGAAGAGGAUGA